GUUUUGUAUUGAACAAAGGCACAGUAAUGUACAUAUGGCAGUUAAUUGAAAAAAAAAAUUUUUGUCACUCAAGUAAUUGUAAGCUUUCAUAUUUGUGAAGUACCGGUACUUAGAGAAUUUUCUCUUUGAGAAAAAAAAACUUUAUGGUGUUGGGGUUAAUUUAUUUUAAUUCAAUAUGUUAUACAUGUAUUUGUUUUUGAAGAUUUUCUUCAACUUUAAAGGUAUGUGAAAUAGUGUGUUGUAUAUUGUCCAUAGUAAUUUUUAAAAAUAUAAAAACAAGCAAAAAUUCAUAUUUUCAAAGGACAAAUCUCAUUCCGAAUUUUUGCAUUUUCAGGUUGUGUAAAAAUUGAUUUUUAAACGUUGAACUUUUUUUUACAUUGAUAACUGUCUCUGGGUAUUUUUUAUAAAUCAAUAUGUCUUGGUUAAGUUUUUGUUUUUUCCUAUAAUAAGUUGCACCUCAAUUUGAUUGUGAGUUAUGUUUGAAAUUCAAUAAAGUAUUGAAUUAAAAUGAGUUU
rnacentral:misc_RNA from 1 species